GGGGCAAUCAGAACGGUGCUUGCUUUUUCUCUUUUUCUCUUCAGCAGGACCUUUAGAGGGAACAGGGAAUGGAGUAAAGAAAGCCCCUGUCCCAAGGAAGGAGGAGAAUGUCUCACUUGGAAUGACAUACAAUCCCUGCUCUGGAGCAGCACUGCAGAUGUUUCUUUUUCUGGUUCAGACUCAAAAACAGGUGAUGUGUGGCUUGAGUGUCUGUUGGGCCUCCAUGAAGGAUCAUGCCCUGAGAAGGCAAUCAUCCAGGUACUGCGGAAUGGAGUAAGGCAGUCUCUGAAAGGAGGAGUGGGCUUUUCCAGAAUGUGCUGACGAGAAGAGUGUUCUACCGGUGCCUCAACCAACCCAUUAAAACUAUCGCUUCAAAGUUGAGAGUUGAGAUGAAGACUGUUGUGGCCCCGAUUGUUUAUGCUUAGAGAAUUUAUAUUUCUUUCUCUACGUCUCGUACGAUCUCUGCAAUGGGUACUGAGAUGUGUACUGUGAUGACCGGGGCUUGAACUGUGGCUGAGGGCUAUAUUUCCUCUUGUAGGCUGGUGUGUAUAUCCCCAGGGACCGAAGAGUCACCCAAGAAUCGUUUAACGUGUGAAGAGGCGCGUCUGUCUUCUUGGUGAACAACUUCAUUCCCUCAAAAAGAGAGGUCCUCUACUAUAGUUUGGACCUCCUUAGGGAAGCUGGACAAAUGAAGCCAAGAGGCCCUCCUAUAACCACAGCCAUGGAAACUGGGUGUGCUGCCAUAUCCAGUGUGCAUUGGAGAGAUUUUUUUGCCACCAGCCGGCCCUCAUUAAUAAUGGCCAUGAACUGGUCCUUGUAAGCAUCUGGGAGUUGGUCAAUAAAGGAAUUAACUUUGCAUAGUUCUGAUAGUCACACUUGGCCAACAAGGCCUGGUAAUUUGCUACCUGAA